rnacentral:rRNA from 1 species
CUACGGAGGAUGCAAGCGUUAUCCGGAUUUAUUGGGUUUAAAGGGUGCGUAGGCGGUUUGCUGAGCGGGAGGUGAAAUGCCGGCGCUCAACGUCGGAAGUGCCUCCCGAACUGGUGGACUGGAAUGACUCUGCCGUGGGAGGAAUGUGUAGUGUAGCGGUGAAAUGCUUAGAGAUUACACAGAACACCGAUUGCGAAGGCAUCUCACGAAGGGUUGAUUGACGCUGAGGCACGAAAGUGUGGGGAUCAAACAGGAUUAGAUACCCUGGUAGUCCACGCAGUAAACGAUGAUGGCUAACCGCUGGGCUUAUCAGUUCAGUGGCCAAGCGAAAGCGAUAAGCCAUCCACCUGGGGAGUACGACCGCAAGGUUGAAACUCAAAUGAAUUGGCGGGG